UCUUUAUUACACCGGCAAGACCCAGUUGGCUCAGAGGAGUCUGAGCACUACCAGAAAUGAGAGCCUCCUUAUAUAGGGAUCUACAGGGUAGGUGAGCAUGCUCACUGAAGCAGGGGGCAGAGUUACAGAACAUUCCUGAAGCACAGGGGCGGAGUUACAGAACAUUCCUGAAAUACAUCCCUUGUAAGCAUGCUCACUGAAGCAGGGGUCAGAGUUACAGGACAUUCCUGAGGAAAAGGGCAGAGUUACAGAACAUUCUCAAGAGGGAGCAGAGCUUAACAGAGCCCUCUUGUGAGGGGGCAGAGCUUAACAGAACAUUCCUGAGAGGUCACACAGUUUAAACAGUUACAAACCAUUUUGAUACAUUGGGCAGGAGCCCAGCAGCACAAACCUACAUUUCCAAAACAAAACGUUCUGUGGAAAAGAAAUGGAGCCAAGGCAAUGGCCUAUCUUAUUGUAUAGCACUUCUCUAUCAUCCACCCCCCUUUUUUUCUGUGGGUGUUAAUGGGUUUUGGAGUUUCUCCUGAGAUAACUGAACAACAUGGCUUGACCCUCUACUUGGAACCCUGGUCCCCAUCUUCCUGUUGCUAAUGAUUGGUCUUUGUCUGUUCAGGUGCCUCACAAUUUCUACAAGAUCGAGUUCAGGCUUUCACAAGACAGUCAGUACAACAAUUACUGAACACCACCAAAGUUCAGAGACCAGCUCUAGAAAGGUAACUGGGCUAAGAAGACAACCAAUAUUUUGGCCCUGGCCCUCCAAGGUCAACAAAGACCCAGGACAUGAAGGAAUCUUUUCUAUAUUUUUUGUCUUCCUAGGACAACUCACUGAGCUUGUC
rnacentral:lncRNA from 1 species